UACGUAGGGUGCGAGCGUUUGUCCGGAAUUAUUGGGCGUAAAGGGCUCGUAGGCGGUUUGUCACGUCGGGAGUGAAAACUCAGGGCUUAACCCUGAGCCUGCUUUCGAUACGGGCAGACUAGAGGUAUGCAGGGGAGAAUGGAAUUCCUGGUGUAGCGGUGAAAUGCGCAGAUAUCAGGAGGAACACCGGUGGCGAAGGCGGUUCUCUGGGCAUUACCUGACGCUGAGGAGCGAAAGUGUGGGGAGCGAACAGG
rnacentral:rRNA from 1 species